UACGUAGGGUGCAGGCGUUAAUCGGAAUUACUGGGCGUAAAGGGUGCGUAGGCGGGUUUUUAAGUCAGGGGUGAAAUCCUGGAGCUCAACUCCAGAACUGCCUUUGAUACUGAGUAGCUUGAGUCCGGGAGAGGUGAGUGGAACUGCGAGUGUAGAGGUGAAAUUCGUAGAUAUUCGCAAGAACACCAGUGGCGAAGGCGGCUCACUGGCCCGGUACUGACGCUGAGGUGCGAAAGCGUGGGGAGCAAACAGGG
rnacentral:rRNA from 1 species